AAAAAAAGAGGGAUGCACCCCGAGAACUUCCCGGGAGGUCUCCCAUCCUAAUACUACUCUCGCCCAAGCCCGCUUAACUGCGGAGUUCUGAUGGGAUCCGGUGUAUUAGUGCUGGUAUGAUCGCAUCCGUUAGUAUAUGCAAUGCAAUCUUAU
rnacentral:sRNA from 1 species